GCUGGUGCUGGUGCUGCCGCCUGGCCUCCCCGCCGGACGGAGCGCAGGGCAGCGGGUGCGCUCGCAGCAGGCCGGGGCAAAUAAACUUUCCUUAAGAGGCGUGGUUUCUUGAAAUGAGGGGGUGGUCUCUGAAGGAAAGUCUGGGAACAAGGCUUGAGUAAUUUUACCAGAAAAAGAACAUGAGGAGAGAGGAAAUACGGUAACGAUGAAUUCCUAUGAGUCCCCGGCCAGUGCCACAAACUCAUACUGGGAUCUGAGAGCCAAGCUGUUUCCCCGCCAUGCCAACCUUCUGCUGAAUGAUAAUUUAGAAUGCAGAUUCUGGCCUCACUGACCCCAGUGCAACCUCAUUGUCUUUUACAAUGGGGGAAGCCUGCUCAAACUCCCUUUGACUUCAGUGACAGAACACUUGGGACCACAGGUUCUUUAAAAGCUUCAGUUCCGUGUGGAGAUCAUAGAAACUGGAGAUCUUUUUUUGUGUGUGUGCAAGAGAAGCCAGUUUGCUCUAACGUCUUUGCCCCAAAUCCCCCCUCCAGUCCCACUAUUAUGGGCCAUGCUGUUAAUCUCUGCUGUGUACUGUCUUCUGUGCUAGAAGAGGCUGCAUUUCAGUGAUGUACAGUAUGUGAAAUAUCUCCACUCUGCUUUAUCAGUCCCUUAGAGGGGGCAUGGAAGCCUCUUCGAUGCUAUCAAAAAUGAAAACAACGCUUUCAACUGUUCUUCAGCUAGAUUGCUGAGUCUCGGCACCAUCUCUGCCGUCCAUGGCCCCUUUCCUUGGAGAACAUCAGAGAGCAUCAACAGAACCACACUGAGACCGACGUACAGGAACCUCCAUUUUAUUUCCAUUAGUCAUUCUGAAAGGACAAUACAAUAAUUUAUCUUCAUCUCAAUGCUACAAAAUUAUGUCUGAGAGAGAGGUGGUAAAACAGGGCCCUGCCAGGAGCACGGGGCCAGCAGCACCACCAAGCACAACCCAGUCACUGGACGGCCGAUACAUGCACGGCACGUGCACUGGACAGCUCACCAUCAACACAAGGGACGAACUGAUCAAAGACGCAUGAUCAAAACCACACCCCACUAGCUGCACGUGCUUCCCAAGAUGGGGCAGUGUGAGCAUAGAAUGCCGCGAGCGACCCACAUCUGUCCGUCUCAGGCUGUGAUGCCAUUGUCACAAGCAGCAGUGCUAUCAGGCCUGGCAAGGAAAAGAGGGCAGCACCUACAGUUGCUGGGGGUACGGGACCAUCACCUUGCAGAAGCAGAGAUGAGCCCAAAUGGACAGGGUUCGAAGUGUGCGGCUUGGGCCCAUCUCCAACAGGGACAGACCCAUCUAAGCUGGUACAUUGUCUCCGACCAGAUGCUUCAGAGGAAGGCUACAAUCCCCAUAAUGCAUCUGUGAUGCCCCUAAGGUUGCGAGCGGCGUGGACUAUCCGCCACCGUCCGUAAAAUAGCCCUUCAGUCCAGGGCAGUGUGGCCUAGCGGCCAGAGUCUAUGACGUCCCCUUUACCUCAAGGAGACGCGGCCUGAUGGCAGGAGUCUAUAACAUGGCCCUUGGCUACAAGGCAGUGGGGCCUACCGGCCAAAGUCCAGAAAGCAACCCUCGGGUGGAGGGUAGCAUGGCCUACCAGCCAGAGUCUAUGGCGUCCCCUUUACCUCAAGGAGACGUGGCCUGAUGGCAGGAGUCUAUAACAUGGCCCUUGGCUACAGGGCAGUAGGGCCUAUCGGCCAGAGUCCAGGAAGCAACCCUCGGGUGGAGGGUAGCAUGGCCUAGCGGCCAGAGUCUUUAUCAUUAUGGUGCGACAGCCCCAGUAGGGGGGCCCCGACCCGGGGCCCUAACAGUAGCGUAAUGGUUUGCCACCAACU